rnacentral:rRNA from 1 species
AUGAACGCUGGCGGCGUGCCUCAUCCAUGCAAGUAGCACGCUGAAGGAAGGAGCUUGCUCUUUCCGGAUGAGUUGCGAACGGGUGAGUAACGCGUAGGUAACCUGCCUGGUAGCGGGGGAUAACUAUUGGAAACGAUAGCUAAUACCGCAUAACAGUAGAUGUUGCAUGAUAUCUACUUAAAAGGUGCAAUUGCACCACUACCAGAUGGACCUGCGUUGUAUUAGCUAGUUGGUGAGGUAACGGCUCACCAAGGCGACGAUACAUAGCCGACCUGAGAGGGUGAUCGGCCACACUGGGACUGAGACACGGCCCAGACUCCUACGGGAGGCAGCAGUAGGGAAUCUUCGGCAAUGGACGGAAGUCUGACCGAGCAACGCCGCGUGAGUGAAGAAGGUUUUCGGAUCGUAAAGCUCUGUUGUAAGAGAAGAACGAGUGUGAGAGUGGAAAGUUCACACUGUGACGGUAUCUUACCAGAAAGGGACGGCUAACUACGUG